AGACAAGCGUUAUUCAUCUUUAUUAGGUUUAAAGGGUACUCAGACAGUUAAUUAAGCCUACACAAGGGACUGAUUAUACUAGAGUUUGAUAGGAGAAGGCUAGAACGGUUAGUGUAGAGAUAAAAUAUGUUGAUACAACCUUGAUACUGACAACAGCGAAGGCAACCUUUUAUGUAAAAACUGACGUUAAAGGACGAAGGCUAUAAAUAAACAACAGGAUUAGGUACCCUAGUAUUCGUGGCAGUCAAUGAUGAAUGUAGUAGGUAAGUAAUAUAGUUUACCUAUAAAUGAAAAUGUAAACAUUCCACCUUAAGAGUAAAAUGGCAACGUGGGAACUGAAAUCAUUAGACCGUUUCUGAAACCAGUAGUGAAGUAUGUUAGUUAAAUUGAUGAUCCACAAAGAACCUUACCACAACUUGAAUGUUAAUUCACAGGAGUUGCACGGCUGUCUUCAGUUGAUAUCGUGAGAUUUUGGUUAGUUCCAUUAAAUCAACGUAAACCCUUACUUUAAUUUAUACAUAAAGUAGUUCGCCAUUAUAUUGGAUACGAUAAUAGGGACUAAGACAAGUCAUCAUGACCUAAAAUGUUGUGGGCUAUAG
rnacentral:rRNA from 1 species